GCAUGAAUAACCAAACUAUUCCUGGCUGAUUCGCACCAGUUAUUCAUUAGUUUAGUUCAUUGUUUAUCACCGAAUCAGCCAGGAAUCGUUUGAUUAUUCUCAU
rnacentral:pre_miRNA from 1 species